CCUACGGGGGGCUGCAGUGAGGAAUAUUGGUCAAUGGGCGCGAGCCUGAACCAGCCAAGUCGCGUGAGGGAAGACGGUCCUAUGGAUUGUAAACCUCUUUUGUCGGGGAGCAAAAGACGCCACGCGUGGCGUUCCGAGAGUACCCGAUCAAAAAGCAUCGGCUAACUCAGUGCCAGCAGCCGCGGUAAUACGGAGGAUGCGAGCGUUAUCCGGAUUUACUGGGUGUAAAGGGCGUGUAGGCGGGCAGGCAAGCCAGAAGUGAAAUCUGGGGGCUUAACCGCCAAACUGCUUUUGAAACUGGGUGUCUUGAGUGAAGAAGAGGCAGGCGGAAUUCCCAGUGUAGCGGUGAAAUGCGUAGAUAUUGGGAGGAACACCAGUGGCGAAGGCGGCCUGCUGGACAUUAACUGACGCUGAGGCGCGAAAGCGUGGGGAGCGAACAGGAUUAGAUACCCUUGUAGUC
rnacentral:rRNA from 1 species